rnacentral:rRNA from 1 species
CCUAGGGGUGGCUGCAGUGGGGAAUAUUGGACAAUGGGCGAAAGCCUGAUCCAGCCAUGCCGCGUGUGUGAAGAAGGCCUUCGGGUUGUAAAGCACUUUCAGUGGGGAAGAAAGCCUUGGGGCUAAUACCCUCGAGGAAGGACAUCACCCACAGAAGAAGCACCGGCUAACUCCGUGCCAGCAGCCGCGGUAAUACGGAGGGUGCGAGCGUUAAUCGGAAUUACUGGGCGUAAAGCGCGCGUAGGCGGUCUGAUAAGCCGGUUGUGAAAGCCCCGGGCUCAACCUGGGAACGGCAUCCGGAACUGUCAGGCUAGAGUGCAGGAGAGGAAGGUAGAAUUCCCGGUGUAGCGGUGAAAUGCGUAGAGAUCGGGAGGAAUACCAGUGGCGAAGGCGGCCUUCUGGACUGACACUGACGCUGAGGUGCGAAAGCGUGGGUAGCAAACAGGAUUAGAUACCCGGGUAGUC